UGAUUAAUGACAACAUAGUCAUUGGAUGAAUGUGUUUUGCAAGAUGUGCAUUUGUAGGUGUUUUAUAGAUUCCAAGAAUGAAUUCCAAAGCUAUGAAAAUGAGAAGGAAAAGAAAGGUUUAGAAGAAUUUAUAGCAUCCAAAUGAUAAUUAAAAUCUAGAGAUAGUAUUUUUCUAAGGCGUAGAGAUGAUGGUAUUGAAACCACGAUAAAGACACGUGAAGACUUGAAGCGAAUCCACCGACACAAUCCACCAAUUCAUACAAUGAUGACUAGCGAAGUCACUGAAUCAGCUAGUAACC
rnacentral:lncRNA from 1 species